GCCCGCGGCGCCGCGCCGGAGGAGGAAGUGGUGCGGUUGUUGCUCACUCUGCGCCCGCCGCUGGCUCCCGGGGCGCGGAGUGGGGCCACAGUCGCCGCCGCUGCGUCGCGCUCUCCAGCUGUUACCCUCCAUGUGCCCGGGCUCAGUCGCUCCCCUUCCUCAGGCCGCCGCUUACCCCGGGGUCUAUGGAAGUAAUGGAAGGACCCCUCAACCUGGCUCAUCAACAGAGCAGACGAGCAGAUCGUUUAUUAGCUGCAGGGAAAUACGAAGAGGCUAUUUCUUGUCACAAGAAGGCUGCAGCAUAUCUUUCUGAAGCUAUGAAGCUGACACAGUCUGAGCAGGCUCAUUUGUCACUGGAACUGCAGAGGGAUAGCCACCUGAAACAGCUCCUCCUCAUCCAGGAGAGAUGGAAGAGGGCAACGCGGGGGGAAAGAUGGAAAGCCCAGCAGGGCACAGACAGGGAUGCUGCUGCCCAGCUUCAGGCAUCUCACAGACCCUCUGCUGAGGAUGCAGACAGCCGGAGCCCCCUGCUCUCUCAGAAUUAUAGCCCUUCCACAGAGAAACACUUGCCUGAAAUUCAGGGGGUCUUUGACAGGGAUCCAGACACACUACUAUUUUUACUUCAGCAGAAGAGCGAGCCAACAGAGCUGUGCAUUGGAAGCAAAGCCCCAAAAGAUGAUAAAACAAUUAUAGAGGAGCAGGCAACCAAAAUUGCAGAUUUGAAGAGGCAUGUGGAAUUCCUCGUGUCUGAGAAUGAAAGAUUAAGGAGAGAAAAUAAACAGCUAAAGGCUGAAAAGGCCAGACUUCUAAAAGGCCCGAUAGAAAAGGAGCUUGAUGUAGAUGCUGAUUUUGUAGAAAAAUCAGAGUUAUGGAGCUUGCCACCACAUGCAGAAACUGCUACAGCCUCUUCAACCUGGCAGAGGUUUGCAUCAAAUACUGGGAAAGCCAAGGAUAUUCCAAUACCCAAUCUUCCUCCCUUGGAUUUUCCAUCUCCAGAACUUCCCCUCAUGGAACUCUCUGAAGAUAUUCUGAAAGGACUUAUGAAUAAUUAAAAUGGAAGGCCAUAGAAGAGGUGAAAAAGAGAAAAUAAUACGGUAAUACAGUUAAUCGAGCAAAAAAAAAAAAAAAAAAAAAAAGGGAAAACCACAUGCAAGGGUAUCCCGGAGAUGCUGCAUCCAGCAUCCUGCGGAGAAGAGGCAUUGACAAGACUCGGAAACAGUCACUGUGAAGUAUGUCGCGCAUCGGAUUUACUGACUCGAGCUAAUGAUUCCAGACUUGGCAGAUACUAAACUCUUGGAGGUUCACUUUCUCCUGAUACAAACCAAAUGGCUACCUGGAAUAAUUUUUUUCAAGCAACAGUUAUUUUUCUUCAGGGUUAAAAUGUAUAAAAUUGGCAGCCUGUCCUUCUAAGAGUCACCGCAGACCAACAGUGCCAUCUAGUGGACGAUAACCCUCCUUCCACCACUUCACAAUAUCUCAGUCACAAGCUGCAACCCUUCGGACACCCACUUCCAAAGCAAACCUCCAGUCAUCUUCAAGGUUAAAAUAAUGAGCUACAUUUCCAAGAUCAUUAGACAACAAGUAUCUUCUCACCAAUGACCCGCUCAUUUCUAGGGAAAAAAAGCAUACCAUUGGGCUUCCCUGGUGGCGCAGUGGUUGGGGGUCUGCCUGCCAAUGCGGGGGACACGGGUUCGAGCCCUGGUCUGGGAGGAUCCCGCAUGCCGCGGAGCAGCUGGGCCCGUGAGCCACGAUUGCUGAGCCUGAGCGUCUGGAGCCUGUGCUCCGCAACAAGAGAGGCCGCGAUAGUGAGAGGCCCGCGCACCGCGAUGAGGAGUGGCCCUCGCUGGCCGCAACUGGAGAAAGCCCUCGCACAGAAACGAAGAUC